rnacentral:rRNA from 1 species
CGGACGGGUGAGUAACGCGUAAAGAACUUGCCUCACAGUUAGGGACAACAUUUGGAAACGAAUGCUAAUACCUGAUAUUAUGAUUUUAGGGCAUCCUAGGAUUAUGAAAGCUAUAUGCGCUGUGAGAGAGCUUUGCGUCCCAUUAGCUAGUUGGAGAGGUAACGGCUCACCAAGGCGAUGAUGGGUAGCCGGCCUGAGGGGGGUGAUCGGCCACAAGGGGACUGAGACACGGCCCUU